CCUUUAACUUCGAUUUUAUUUUUUUUUGGAAUUUUCUUAUCAAGGUAGGAUUGAUAAAUUUGUCUAGGCAUGCAUUGAAUAUGAAAAUAUGAGGUUGGAGAAGGAGUCGUUUCAAUUUUCAUCCAAGGAAUUAAUCAUAAGAGUGGAAUACAAGCAUUACCUAAUCUCACUAUUGUUGAUGCUCCCCGACCUAUUGCUGCUGCACCAGGUCGAAAAAUCAUGCAUUACAGAGUCAAGCUCAGGCAGUGGAGGCGCUUGUGCUAGCAAAAAUGCAGCGUAAAGAAUUUAUCAUAUAGCGUCUUGAAGAUUGUAGUGACCGGAGUAAUGAAACUACUCGGAGACUUGUGAUGCAAGUUUUUGUACUUGAGUGUGUUAGUGUUUUUGUUGCACUUAAGGAACUAUAGUGCUUCUUUUUGUGGGAACAGUAGGAGAGAAAUGAUCUUACUUGAGAUUGCAGUUGGGGUAAAUUUUAGGAGAAGCUUUGGAUAGCAUCAAAGCUACUUUAUUUUUGUUUGAUGCUCCAGGUGUUUGAUAAAUUUCUAUACUUGGGAACAAAUAUUUUUGCUUUAAUUAUCCUUA